UAUAGCCGUGCUGAAUCUGUUUC
rnacentral:siRNA from 1 species